AUGUCUGGUUCUCCAGGUGGUAGGGAGAGAGGCUGCGUCAGAGGCCCACCUUUUGGCCCUGCUCAGCACCAGAGACCGCCUUGGGACACCUGCUUGUCUAACUCACUCCCGCUGCACCACACCCAGAAUAGACUAGCCAUGUCUGCUGCUGGUGGAGACAAACGGGUCGAUACAUCUAUCAGGCAGUUUCACCAAUCAGACGUGGACAGAGCGCCUGUCUAUCUCCGGUUGGUCGACAGAGACCGUUUGGCCACAAA
rnacentral:lncRNA from 1 species